ACGGAGGGUGCGAGCGUUGUCCGGAAUCACUGGGCGUAAAGGGCGCGUAGGUGGCGCGGGAAGUCAACGGUGAAAGUUCAGGGCUCAACCCUGAAUCGGCCGUCGAUACUCCCGGGCUUGAGCACUGUAGAGGCAGGUGGAAUUCCGGGUGUAGCGGUGGAAUGCGUAGAGAUCCGGAAGAACACCGGUGGCGAAGGCGGCAUCCUGGACCGGCAUUGACGCUGAGGCGCGAAAGCCAGGGGAGCAAACGGGA
rnacentral:rRNA from 1 species